CAGCAUCAGCUGAUCGAUCUCAGCCAAUGAGCCAAAGCCCUGCAUAUGCUUUGGAACUUUCAGCUCUCACCCCACCACCACUACCUCAGUGAAAGCUGAAAGUUCCAAAGCAUAUGCAGGGCUUUAGCUCAUUGGCUGAGAUCGAUCAUCUGGCAGAGCCC